GAUCAUGGCUCAGGAUGAACGCUGGCGGCGUGCCUAACACAUGCAAGUCGAGCGAGAAGCUCAUGACAGACGCUUCGGUUGAAGUCACGAGUGGAAAGCGGCGGACGGGUGAGUAACGCGUAGGCAACCUGCCCUUUGCAGAGGGAUAGCCUCGGGAAACCGGGAUUAAAACCUCAUAAUACCGCAGUGAGACAUCUCACGGCGGUCAAAGAUUUAUCGGCAAAGGAUGGG
rnacentral:rRNA from 1 species